UACGUAGGGUGCGAGCGUUAAUCGGAAUUACUGGGCGUAAAGCGUGCGUAGGUGGUUCGUUGUGUCUGUGGUGAAAGCCCCGGGCUUAACCUGGGAAUGGCCAUGGAAACUGGCGAGCUGGAGUCUGGCAGAGGGGGGUGGAAUUCCGCGUGUAGCAGUGAAAUGCGUAGAUAUCUGGAGGAACACCGGUGGCGAAGGCGGCAUCCUGGACCAUGACUGACGCUGAGGAGCGAAAGCCAGGGGAGCAAACGGG
rnacentral:rRNA from 1 species